GAUAAGGUGGCCUUCGGCUAAAUCCCCAUUCCUGCCAUUCGCUCUUGCCCGGCUUCUCCCCACGCUCCCAUGGCCGCCGUUUACCCCACCACGGCCGUCCUCCCCACGCGCCACUCCCCUCCUUCCUUCCUCCGGUCGCCGUCCCUGUCGUGGUCCGCCUCCAUCACCCAGCACCGCAUCCCCUUCUCACCGCGCCUCGCUCUCUCGCCGCCACCGGCGGCCAAUCGGCGGUCAUUCGUGGUCCGAGCGGCGUGGACGCGGCGGUCGCGCGGCGAGUUGGACAAGAGCCCGAACCGCAAGUCGUGGAAGCAGCGCACGGACAUGUACAUGCGCCCGUUCCUGCUCAACGUCUUCUUCUCCAAGCGCUUCGUGCACGCCAAGGUCAUGCACCGGGGCACCAGCAAGGUCAUCGCCGUCGCCACCACCAACGCCAAGGACCUCAGGACCACCCUGCCGUCCCUCAUCGACGACAACGCCUGCCGGACCAUCGGUCGCCUCAUAGCCGAGAGGUCCAUGGACGCCGACGUCUUCGCCAUGGCGUACGAGCCCAAGAAGAACGAGAGGAUCGAGGGGAAGCUCGGGAUUGUCAUCGACACCAUUAAGGAGUAUGGCAUCAUCUUUGCAUAGUGAUUACAAUUAUCUACGAGUACCAACCAAGUCAUCACCCGUGCUGAUCCUUGAAGAAAUUCGACUUGUUUCUCCACAAGUUGCAUCAGUUGUGCACAGACACCAUCCUGAUAUGGAGCUUCCCUUCACGAAUGCUCAGAUGAAAGUACCUUACUCCUCGUGUUUAUCUUUUUCAUGGGAAAAAUGGAUCAAUGAUGUAAUUUAACGGAACGAAACUAGUCACUGCCGAGGUCAUUCGGGCAUAUGUGAGGUAUAUUGUGCUCA